GCUCCUUUAGCAGUGAGGAAUAUUGGUCAAUAGCCUAACGGCUGAACCAGCAACUUGGAGGAAUGUAUAGCAAUAGCUACUUGCAUCAUUAUAAAGGUGAUGCAAGAUCGACUAUGUCGAAUAAAAUUCUAGGUAGAAUUAUGAUAAUGACAUUGUCUGCCUAUGUGUCUUGACCAAAUUACGUGCCAGCAGUCGCGGUAAUACGUAGAAGACUAGUGUUAUUCAUGUUUAAUCGGUUUAAAGGGUACCUAGACGGUAAAUCAAGCCUAAAAAAAAAUAAUUGAAGGGACUAAUUUGCUAGAGUUACUUAUGAGGGGGUAUUAAAGUACUGCUGGUGUAGAGAUGAAAUUCUGUCAUACCUCUUUUCAAUAGAAAAACAAUGGCACAGGUAUAGGCGAAAGCAUCCCCUUAUGUGAUAACUGACGUUGAGGGACGAAGGCUUUGUGUAGCGAACAGGAUUAGAUACCCCAGUAGUCAAAGCAGAAAAUGAUGAAUGUCAUAGAUUAGAUAUAUAAGUUUAUUCUAUAAAUGAAAGUGUAAGCAUUCCACCUCAAGAGUAAUUUGGCAACAUUGGAACUGAAAUCAUUAGACCGUUUCUGAAACCAGUAGUGAAGUAUGUUGUUUAAUUUGAUGAUCCGCAAAAAACCUUACCACAAUUUGAAUAUUUAUAUCUAUUAUUGUUUUUUCUUCUUAUUUUUUAAUUAAAAACAAUAAUUAAGAAGAAAAAUAAGAAAAAGAGGCAAUAAGAUAUAUUUACAAGCGUUGCACGGCUGUCUUCAGUUAAUGUCGCGAGACUUUGGUUAGUUCCAUUAAAUUAACGUAAACCCUUACUUUAUUUUUAUAUAGAGUAGUUCCCCGCUAUAUUGGAUAUGAUAACAGGGACUAAGACAAGUCAUCAUGGCCUAAAUAUUGUGGGCUAUAGACGUGCCC
rnacentral:rRNA from 1 species